rnacentral:rRNA from 1 species
GGUGUUAUAAGAUGGUGACGUAGAUUUAUUUAGAAAAGUCAAAAACGUAUUUAUUAGGGGAAGGCACUGGAAAGUGCGGCCACAGAAGGUAAUAGCCCUGUACCCGAAAAUAAAUACACUUUUUUGUUACCACUCUUGAGUACCUCUGGACAUGAAUAGCUUGAGGGAAUUCGGUAGGACUAACUACCAAGGCUAAAUACUUUUCGAGAUCGAUAGUGAACUAGUACCGCGAGGGAAAGGUGAAAAGCAGCCCGGUGAGGGCAGUGAAAUAGACCUGAAACCAUAUGUUUACAAGGAGUUGAAGUCCGCAAGGACGACAGCGUGCCUAUUGAAGAAUGAGCCAACGAGUGUAUGUAUACUGCAAGCUAAGUCCGUAAUGGGACGGAGCUUCAGGGAAACCGAGCGUGAAUAGCGCGAAUAUGUAGUAUACAUACGACCCGAAGCCGAAGUGAGCUUGCCAUGCGCAGGGUGAAGUUGCGAGAAAUCGUGAUGGAGGCCCGAACCGGUUAGUCGUGCAAUGCUAUCGGAUGACGUGUGGUAAGAAGUGAAAAGCUAAUCGAACUCGGUAAUAGCUGGUUCUCUCCGAAAUAGCUUUUGGGUUAGCGUCAGGAUUACCCUCUGGGGGUAGAGCACUGGAAGGACUCAACAGGGCGCAAGCUCGUGAGUCCUAUCAAACUCCGAAUACCAGAGGCCAUUGCCUGGCAGUUAGACCGUGGGGGCUAAGCUCCACUGGUCGUAAGGGGAACAGCCCAGAUCUCCAUCUAAGGUCCCUAAAUUUAUACUAAGUGCAUCUAAGAAGGUGAGAUUUCUCUGACAAUGAGGAGGUUGGCUUAGAAGCAGCCACCCUUUAAAGAUAGCGUAACAGCUCACUCAUCGAGAGAUUUUGCGUCAAAGAUAAACGGGGCUAAGUAUAGUACCGAAGUUGAGGGCUUUCAGGUUCUUCGGAAUCUGGGAGCGGUAGGAGAGCAUUCGUGUCUGCUGUGAAGGAGGACCCGUGAGGGCCUCUGGAGCGUCACGAAGAGAGAAUGUUGGCACAAGUAACCACAAUCAGAGUGAGAGCCUCUGACGCCGAAAGAUCAAGGUUUCCUUCGCUAUGAUGAUCAGCGAAGGGUUAGUCGGGCCUAAGGUGAUGGCGAGAGCCGGAACCGAUGGACAGAAGGUUAAUAUUCCUUCACGUGUGUGUGUUUCGAUGGGAUGACGGAGUGUAGUAUGCAAAGCGUAUUAUUGGAUUUACGUUUGUGUCGUGAGAAUAGCUUCCUGGCAAAUCCGGAGGCAACCACUUUAGUGUGGGAUAUUCAAGCGAAAAAUAAAUUCUGCGGUUCGCCAAGGAAAAUUUUGCAAAGCACGCUUCCAAGAAAAGUCUCUAAGGUUAAACACAUAUACUCCGUACCGCAAACCGACACAGGUGAUCAGGUCGAGAAGACCAAGGCGAACGGGUGAGAGUUUCUCAAGGAACUCGGCAAAAAAGCGGCCGUAAGUUCGCGAUAAGGCCUGGCCAGUGCAUAACUGGCCCGCAGCUAAAGUUUCUCUGGCAACUGUUUAUCAAAAACACAGCUCCCUGCGAACUCGCAAGAGGAUGUAUAGGGGGUGACACCUGACCAAUGCCAGAAGGUCAAUUAUCGGUGGUACAUGGUCGCAAGAUUGUGUGCUGGCUGAUACAAGCCCUGGUGAAUGUCGGCCGUAACUAUAACGGUCCUAAGGUAGCGAAGUACCUUGUCGGGUAAGUUCCGACGCGCACGAAUGGUGUAAUGACUGGAGAACUGUC